GGUUAAGUUAGAAAGGGCGCACGGUGGAUGCCUUGGCACUAGGAGCCGAAGAAGGACGGGACUAACACCGAUAUGCUUUGGGGAGCUGUACGUAAGCGUUGAUCCAGAGAUUUCCGAAUGGGGGAACCCACUAUCUUUAGUCGGAUAGUAUCCUUACGUGAAUACAUAGCGUGAGGAAGGCAGACCCAGGGAACUGAAACAUCUAAGUACCUGGAGGAAGAGAAAGAAAAAUCGAUUUCCUGAGUAGCGGCGAGCGAAACGGAAAGAGCCCAAACCAAGAAGCUUGCUUCUUGGGGUUGUAGGACACUCUAUACGGAGUUACAAAAGAAAGUUAUAAAUGAAGCGGUCUGGAAAGGCCCGCCAAAGACGGUAACAGCCCGGUAGUUGAAAUGGCUUUCCCUCCAGAGUGGAUCCUGAGUACGGCGGAACACGUGAAAUUCCGUCGGAAUCCGGGAGGACCAUCUCCCAAGGCUAAAUACUCCCUAGUGACCGAUAGUGAACCAGUACCGUGAGGGAAAGGUGAAAAGCACCCCGGAAGGGGAGUGAAACAGUUCCUGAAACCGUGUGCCUACAAGUAGUUAGAGCCCGUUAAUGGGUGAUAGCGUGCCUUUUGUAGAAUGAACCGGCGAGUUACGAUUUGUUGCAAGGUUAAGCGGAAAAAGCGGAGCCGUAGCGAAAGCGAGUCUGAAUAGGGCGCAUAAGUAACAGGUCGUAGACCCGAAACCAGGUGAUCUACCCAUGUCCAGGAUGAAGGUAAGGUAAUACUUACUGGAGGUCCGAACCCACGCACGUUGAAAAGUGCGGGGAUGAGGUGUGGGUAGCGGAGAAAUUCCAAUCGAACUUGGAGAUAGCUGGUUCUCUCCGAAAUAGCUUUAGGGCUAGCCUCGAGGUAAAGAGUCAUGGAGGUAGAGCACUGUUUGGACUAGGGGCCCUUCUCGGGUUACCGAAUUCAGAUAAACUCCGAAUGCCAUGUACUUAUACUCGGGAGUCAGACUGCGAGUGAUAAGAUCCGUAGUCGAAAGGGAAACAGCCCAGACCACCAGUUAAGGUCCCCAAAUAUAUGUUAAGUGGAAAAGGAUGUGGGGUUGCUUAGACAACCAGGAUGUUGGCUUAGAAGCAGCCACCAUUGAAAGAGUGCGUAAUAGCUCACUGGUCGAGUGACCCCGCGCCGAAAAUGUACCGGGGCUAAACAUAUUACCGAAACUGUGGAUGAACCUCUUCGGAGGUUCGUGGUAGGAGAGCGUUCUAAGGGCGGUGAAGUCAGACCGGAAGGACUGGUGGAGCGCUUAGAAGUGAGAAUGCCGGUAUGAGUAGCGAAAGAAGGGUGAGAAUCCCUUCCACCGAAUAUCUAAGGUUUCCUGAGGAAGGCUCGUCCGCUCAGGGUUAGUCGGGACCUAAGCCGAGGCCGAUAGGCGUAGGCGAUGGACAACAGGUAGAGAUUCCUGUACCAGUGCUAAUUGUUUAACCGAUGGGGUGACACAGAAGGAUAGGGAAUCGCACGAAUGGAAAUGUGCGUCCAAGCAGUGAGUGUGAGAAGUAGGCAAAUCCGCUUCUCGCG
rnacentral:rRNA from 1 species